UACGGAGGGGGCAAGCGUUAUUCGGAAUUAUUGGGCGUAAAGGGCGCGUAGGCGGCUAGAUGUGUCAAAGGUGAAAUCCCUCGGCUCAACUGAGGAACUGCCUUUGAAACUGUCUGGCUUGAGGCCGGGAGAGGGUAGCGGAAUUCCCAGUGUAGCGGUGAAAUGCGUAGAUAUCGAGAGGAACACCAGCGGCGAAAGCGCGCUACUGGGCCAUUACUGACACUCAUGGACGAAAGCUAGGGGAGCGAAAGGG
rnacentral:rRNA from 1 species